AUUGAACGCUGGCGGCAGGCCUAACACAUGCAAGUCGAACGAGUGGCGGACGGGUGAGUAAUUUCUGGGAAACUGCCCGAUGGAGGGGGAUAACUACUGGAAACGGUAGCUAAUACUGCAUCCCAUCGUAUGUGCCCAGAUGGGGUGAGCUAGUAGGUGGGGUAACGGCGCACCUAGGCGAGGAUCCCUAGCUGGUCUGAGAGGAUGACCAGCCACAUUGGAACUGAGAUGCGGGCCAGACUCCUACGGGAGGCAGCAGUGGGGAAUAUUGCACAAUGGGCGCAAGCCUGAUACAGCCAAGCCGCGGGUAUGAAGAAGGCCUUCGGGUUGUAAAGGACUUUCAGCGAGGAGGCGUUACGCGCAGAAGAAGCACCGGCUAACUCCGUGCCAGCAGCCGCGGUAAUAC
rnacentral:rRNA from 1 species